rnacentral:sRNA from 1 species
UCGAACGGGAUGGCAGAGGAGGUGAGGAGGGAGAAGCGUCCGGAGUGGGGCGGGCCCGGACUCCGACCCCCGGGGCGCUUCGAGCCCCCCAGCGGGUCACCGAGGCACCGCCGCUCCACCCAGGCCAGUAGCCGCCCCCUCGCGCACCCCGGCCCCGCCUCACACGCGCGCCCGAGCGAGCCCCGGGCUCCCCUCGGGCCCAGCGCGGCGCAGGGGUCAGUGGUUCUCUCGGGUCUCGGGACAGGUGAGCACCCUGAUGAAGGCCACAGUCCUGAUGCGGCAGCCUGGGCGGGUGCAGGAGAUCGUGGGCGCCCUCCGCAAGGGCGGCGGAGAUCGGUUACAGAUUUCUCAAUAUGGUCAUGCUGCUUCCCCUAAUUGGACAGAAGGCGCCCACACCAGUACCUAGGGCCUUAUCCUCCCCAAGCCAGCGGCUCCCCAGUGAUUUCUGAUUUUGACAUGACCUUGAGCAGGUUUGCAUAUAAUGGAAAGCGAUGCCCUUCUUCUUACAAUAUUCUGGAUAAUAGCAAGAUCAUCAGUGAGGAGUGUCGGAAAGAGCUCACAGCACUCCUUCACCACUAUUACCCAAUUGAGAUCGACCCACACCGGACCGUCAAGGAGAAGCUACCUCAUAUGGUGGAAUGGUGGACCAAAGCGCACAAUCUCCUAUGUCAGCAGAAGAUUCAGAAGUUUCAGAUAGCCCAGGUGGUUAGAGAGUCCAAUGCAAUGCUCAGGGAGGGAUACAAGACCUUCUUCAACACACUCUACCAUAACAACAUUCCCCUUUUCAUCUUUUCUGCGGGCAUUGGUGAUAUCCUGGAAGAAAUUAUCAGACAGAUGAAAGUGUUCCACCCCAACAUCCACAUCGUGUCUAACUACAUGGAUUUUAAUGAAGAUGGUUUUCUCCAGGGAUUUAAGGGCCAGCUCAUACACACAUACAACAAGAACAGCUCUGUGUGUGAGAACUCUGGUUACUUCCAGCAACUUGAGGGCAAAACCAAUGUCAUCUUGCUGGGAGACUCCAUCGGGGACCUCACCAUGGCCGAUGGGGUUCCUGGUGUGCAGAACAUUCUCAAGAUUGGCUUCCUGAAUGACAAGGUGGAGGAGCGGCGGGAGCGCUACAUGGACUCCUAUGACAUCGUGCUGGAGAAGGACGAGACUCUGGAUGUGGUCAACGGGCUACUGCAGCACAUCCUGUGCCAGGGGGUCCAGCUGGAGAUGCAAGGCCCCUGAAGGCACAGGCUUCACCCGGCCUGCAGGCCGUGGUGAGGAGGGGGCGCCUCCCCAGAGUGCGCUCCCCCGUGAACACAGAGCAGAGGCCAGGGUGGCCAGCAGUGGCUGGGUCCUUCCAUGCUCCCUCUCCGUCCUCCUUUCCCCGAGCACCUUCAUCACCAGAGGCUUGAAGGAACCCCGCCAUGUGGCAGGGCACAAGCACUGUUCCUGGUGAACCUUGGACCACAGCAUGUCAGUGCUCUAGGGAUUGUCUGUUCCAGGGAUUUUUUUCAAAAUUUUUAAACAUGGGAAGUUGUUCUUCAAACAAAUAUAAUGUGUGAAACAGAUGAAAAUUUUUAAAAUGAAAAAAAA